rnacentral:rRNA from 1 species
AUGGACGACGUAUCCGGCGGCGGUUGGCUCCCGAACGAGAUGAUCAUGGAGGUGCUGCUGUGGCUCCCCGCCAGAUCCCUCCUCCGCUUCCGCGCCGUCUGCCGCUCCUGGGCGGCGCUCUUCUCCACGGAACAGUUCUGCAGCCUCCACAUGGCGACCCCCAAGGCAGCGCCGCCCAAGCUGCUCUUCAUCUCACCCGCUGCAACACCCGACUCCUCAACGGAGGUGUGCUCAGUCUCCCUGUCAGCAGGCCCCGAAGAUGACCUCAAGCUCUUCACCCUCGACUCUGCCUGCGGCGACUCGAUGCAGCUGCUCAUGCCGGCACCCUGCCAUGGCCUCAACCUUCUGUUCGAUGCCGUCACGCUGGCUUACUACAUCUGCAAUGCAGCCACACGAGCGGUCACACGUCUGCCACCUUUCCCUCGCGGGUUCAGGCAUGCAUCUGCCGGGCUUGGGUUUGAUGCCCGGACAAGAAGGUACAAGGUGGUCAGGCUAAUCGGAGGGACACACGAUGACAUUGAGUCCAUCUGGUGUGAGGUGUACACACAUGGAGGCGACGCAGGUGAUAGCUGGAGGCCCCCCGCCGGCAGAGGAGUGCCCCUUGGAUUGCGCAGGUUCGCAGGUGCUGCUGUUAGUGAUGCACAAUUUCACAAUCUACCGCCUGUGUUUGCAAACGGAUCCCUGCACUGGUCGCUCCACCCUCUCUCCUCCAAAAGGCCAAGGGCUGCUGUGAUAUCAUUUUCACUCGCGGACAAAACAUUCAGUUUCAUCAGACCACCACCGUUCUGGACAUCGCCCGCACCCUUAUUGGCAUCAGAUCCAGAGAGCAUCCCCUAUCGCAACGCGGAAUUAGAAGGGCAUCUUGUGCAGAUGGAUGACCAACUAUGUAUGAUCCGAGACCUUCGAUAUGAUGGUAAUACCGGUGGUUACAUUUUGGAGAUCUGGAAAUUGUUGGAUCGUAGCUCCGGUGCUUGGUCACUGUAUCAUGCCGUUCAUUUGUUCGGGCGUGUGGCGAGAGAUCUAUGUCGGCCGGAGGUUAUGAGAGUUAUCGGUUUCACUAGCAGCAAUGGCAGGUUAGGGAAGAAGAUAAUCAUCAUUACUAGCGAGCACAUAUUGUACGAUGAGUUUCGGAAGAAGGUUCACACCUAUGACCUUAGCUCUGAAUCUCUAGAGACCAUUCUUUCAAUCGAGGAGACACAUGCAUCACUUGAAGGCGUCACUCCAAGUUUAAUAUUUAGUUUAUUUGAAGAGACCCUUGCUCCAAUACAUCGAUUUGCUGAGCAUGCUUGA